ACAUUCUAGCGGCGAACGGGUGAGUAACACGUGAGCAACCUACCUUUGAGUUGGGGAUAGCCCUGCGAAAGCAGGAUUAAUACCCGAUGUGGUCACAACAGGACAUCCUGAUGUGAGUAAAGGCGCAAGCCGCUCAAUGACGGGCUCGCGGCCUAUUAGCUUGUUGGUGGGGUAACGGCCUACCAAGGCGAUGAUGGGUAGCUGGUCUGAGAGGACGAUCAGCCACACUGGGACUGAGACACGGCCCAGACUCCUACGGGAGGCAGCAGUUAGGAAUUUUCCGCAAUGGGCGAAAGCCUGACGGAGCAACGCCGCGUGAGUGAUGAAGAACCUUCGGGUUUGUAAAGCUCUGUCGGAGGGGAAGAAACACAAUGACGGUACCCUCCAAGAAAGCCCCGGCUAACUACGUGCCAGCAGCCGCGGUAAUACGUAGGGGGCGAGCGUUAUCCGGAUUUACUGGGCGUAAAGCGCGUUAAGGCGGCCGACAAAGUUGGUGGUGAAAUUUCAGGGCUCAACUCUGAAACUGCCUCCAAUACUGGUUGGCUUGAGUGCGAGAGAGGAAGGUGGAAUUCCCGGUGUAGUAGUGAAAUGCGUAGAUAUCGGGAGGAACACCANUGGCGAAGGCGGCCUUCUGGCUCGCAACUGACGCUGUAGCGCGAAAGCGUGGGGAGCGAACGG
rnacentral:rRNA from 1 species